rnacentral:rRNA from 1 species
GACGAACGCUGCCGGCGUGCUUAACACAUGCAAGUCGAACGGAAAGGCCUGCAGCUUGCUGCGGGUACUCGAGUGGCGAACGGGUGAGUAACACGUGGGUGAUCUGCCUUGCACUUCGGGAUAAGCUUGGGAAACUGGGUCUAAUACCGGAUAGGACAGCUGUUUAGUGUCAGUUGUGGAAAGUUUUUUCGGUGCAAGAUGAGCUCGCGGCCUAUCAGCUUGUUGGUGGGGUAAUGGCCUACCAAGGCGUCGACGGGUAGCCGGCCUGAGAGGGUGUACGGCCACAUUGGGACUGAGAUACGGCCCAGACUCCUACGGGAGGCAGCAGUGGGGAAUAUUGCACAAUGGGCGGAAGCCUGAUGCAGCGACGCCGCGUGGGGGAUGAAGGCCUUCGGGUUGUAAACUCCUUUCGACAGGGACGAAGCGUAAGUGACGGUACCUGUAUAAGAAGCACCGGCUAGCUACGUGCCAGCAGCCGCGGUAAUACGUAGGGUGCGAGCGUUGUCCGGAAUUACUGGGCGUAAAGAGCUCGUAGGUGGUUUGUCGCGUCGUCUGUGAAAUUCCGGGGCCUAACUCCGGGCGUGCAGGCGAUACGGGCUGACUUGAGUGCUGUAGGGGAGACUGGAAUUCCUGGUGUAGCGGUGAAAUGCGCAGAUAUCAGGAGGAACACCGAUGGCGAAGGCAGGUCUCUGGGCAGUAACUGACGCUGAGGAGCGAAAGCAUGGGUAGCGAACAGGAUUAGAUACCCUGGUAGUCCAUGCCGUAAACGGUGGGCGCUAGGUGUAGGGGGCUUCCACGUCUUCUGUGCCGUAGCUAACGCAUUAAGCGCCCCG